GCGAAAGCUAUUUAGGUAGCGCGUCGCGUAUUACCGCCGGGGGUAGAGCACUGGAUGGGCUAGGGGGGCGCGAGCCUUACCAAACCUAACCAAACUCCGAAUACCGGUGAGUACAGCACGGCAGACAGUCCAUGGGUGCUAAGGUCCGUGGACGAGAGGGAAACAGCCCAGACCUCCAGCUAAGGCCCCCAAGUGGCGGCUAAGUGGGAAAGGAUGUGGGAAGGCCAAGACAACCAGGAGGUUGGCUUAGAAGCAGCCAUCCUUUAAAGAAAGCGUAACAGCUCACUGGUCAAGCGUUCCUGCGCGGAAAAUGUAACGGGGCUUAAGUGAUACACCGAAGCUGCGGACUCGAAAGAGUGGUAGCGGAGCGUUCUGUAAGUCUGUGAAGGUGGCCUGCGAGGGCUGCUGGAGAUAUCAGAAGUGAGAAUGCUGACAUGAGUAGCGAUAAAGAGGGUGAGAGGCCCUCUCGCCGAAAGUCCAAGGGUUCCUGCGCAAUGCU
rnacentral:rRNA from 14 species